UAAAGUGCGUCUUUGGGGCUGAGAGCUAAUAUAAAGAAUAACCAAUAAAUGGGGUGGAGGAACUCAACAAUGGCAAGCAAGGUGCAAACUCUAUUAUUCCUGCACAAAGUGCAAUUAUUUUGUCCACAAAGCCAUCCUGAAGCAACAUGACUGGACUCUAGCAGCUCGAUGCAAGUGAAGCAAGAAAGCAAGUGACCAAUGCAGCCUAUUGCAAAGAUGGUGAACACUCAGUCAUGAGAUAAUACUGAGAGUUCAAACCUACUCACAAGUGAUGAAGGGAUGAGCAGUCAAUAACAACGCAUGUCAGCAACCAAAGUGCC